CUCUCUCUCCGCAAUUCAUGGUUCACUUAGGAUAGUGUUGUGUCCACCCCCCCACAAUCUCUCUCUCUCUCUCUCUCAAAUGGCUUCCACAGCGAUCCUCUCGUCUUCUUGCUCGCUCUCUCUGGGGAGCAAAGCUCGAGGUCCCUGCGCUUCCCUCACCUUCCUCACGGGCUCGAGAGGGAACAACGCUCCUUCUUCGGUGAACUUCGCGAGGACCACGGCUCGCUCGCCUCUGCUUCGCUGCUCUUUCUUGCCCUCCUCGUCUCCUCUCUCUUCCCCGAACUCCUUCUCUGGUUCGUCUUUGACGUUGAACUUCAACUUUCAUCUUGGAACCACUACGGAGAAACGCCGUGGCCUGGUGGUGAGAGCUGGGAAGCCUGCGCUUUGCCUAACAAAAAGGAACAGAUCGAGGAAAUCUCUGGCUCGAACCCAUGGCUUUCGCAGGAGGAUGAGGACUACGAGUGGAAGAGCAAUUUUGAAGCGCAGACGUGCCAAGGGACGAUGGGUCCUUUGCCCCAAGUCGAAUUCAAAUAGUGGCAAACGUUCUUGAUUGUUAUUUGAUCAUUUACAAAAGGGUAAGGUCUAUCAAAUAUUGUUUUUCUGCAUAUUUAGAUUUCAUGCUCUCAUCCCAUGUCGAUGUUAAAGGUAACGAGCCUCUUAAUGUUCUCCAUUUGUGUAAUGUUGGCGUGUCCAUCACCUCACCUGUCUUAUUUCUUCUGUCAAAAUGCUAAUAAUGACGGGAACAAUUACGUGAUGUGCGGUUGGCGUCGCAUUGGCAUCGCAACAGAUAAGAGAUAAGGUGUACUUCUAUCUAGCCCUUGGAGCAGCAUUACAGGUUAAAGUCCUGUACCGUGCAAUGUAAUCCAUCAGUGACGCUCGAGUGCGCAAUGCAGCUUGGUUUGCGAACUUCUUCGCUGCCGGUUGUCUAACCCUCACCAACCAAGCCACGGCAUAGGUUGGCUUGUGGUGGUUUGGCUGACCGCUGCUGUAAGACCGACCGACUAGGCCAAUCAUGGUGGUUGCCGGUUACCUUUU